GCCUGCUGCCAUAGUACUCUGAAAGCACCCAAUCCUGUCUGAUCUCAAAAGCUAAGCAAGGUUGGGUCUGGCUAAUAUGUGGAAGGGAGAAAGUUGGGUAGGAAUAUGUGGUUUCGUUCUUAGCUGGCU
ensembl:rRNA 5S_rRNA 5S ribosomal RNA